rnacentral:hammerhead_ribozyme from 1 species
AUCCAGCUGAUUAAUCCCAAAUAGGACGAAACGCGCGUCAAACUGGAU